GAAAACUUUCGCAGUGUUUUCCCACUAAAGAGGAGCAGUUUAUUGAGGCAGAUUUUGCUAAAGAGAAUGGGUGCCAUACAUCAGACCUCACAUUAAAUCAGGGAUGAAACGAGAGAUGUCGUCCUCUGUUGCUGGUUUAUCUGUAUGAAUAAGAUGAAGAGCUCAUCCAGUAGUGCAAUUGUGGGAAUGCACAGAGAAUUGCUGUCUGUCAGAGGGAUGACCAACCAUGAGGACUUCUGCAUUGUCUUGGAGGAUAAGUGAGUCAUGGCUAGCCUGGAAAAUCUAGAAUCGCUGAACUGGAUUUAUACAAAUAUUCCACAAAUUAAAAUCACUUACAAAGAAACGAAUAAUAAGUUUGCAAUACACAAAUUCUGUCAAAUAUUGUCUAAAAUGUGACUAUUCCUACAAAGGAAAGUUGACAGGUCAGUUUUUUCCAUGACAUGGAUAAAGGAAUUUUUAUCAGAGAUUAGCAUUGCUGUAAAUUUUAUAUAGAUUUGUUUAACAUAUUGUACCAUUUUGUUAUCAGUGUAACAUGUAAUAAAAUGAUAUUUGGCCUAAA